UGGAGCCUCCUGACCUCAUGACGCAGAUCAGGUCCAGAACCGACCAGGUGACUCAGCAGGGUGAGAAGUGGACCUCAGGCAACAGAUGGACCUCCGGACACGGACAGGCUGUGUGACUGAAACAUUGUUUCCUGGAUUGCCUACUACUUAGAUAAUGGUUGGCAAGAGGAACACUGAAUCUGAAUGAACCACGGCUACGGAGCACCUUGGAUGGAGAUCAGAUAAACUCUUUUGAUGGUACAUUGCCUCUCGAAGUGCGAAUCUCACAGGCUGCCGCUCAGAAGGACAGCACCACUUCAGAAGCUGAACUGAGUCACUUCUCCCACCAUGAGCCAGUUCCUGGCACUUCUUCUGAGAAGCUUCUGUUUGACUUGUAGAAAUGUUGUUAUCAAAACCAGAAUAG